GGGGAAUUUUCCGCAAUGGGCGAAAGUCUGACGGAGCAAUGCCGCGUGGAGGAUGACACUUCUAGGAGCGUAAACUCCUUUUCUGUGGGACGAUAUCAGACGGUACCACAGGAAUAAGCACCGGCUAACUACGUGCCAGCAGCAGCGGUAAUACGUAGGGUGCAAGCGUUAACCGGAAUUACUGGGCGUAAAGCGUGCGUAGGCGGCUUGGCAAGUCUGUUGUUAAAGCCCGGUGCUCAACAUCGGAAUCGCAACGGAUACUGCCUGGCUGGAGAGAAUGAGGGGAGAACGGAAUUCCCGGUGUAGCGGUAAUAUGCAUUGAUAUCGGGAGGAACACCAGAAGCGAAGGCGGUUCUCUGGCAUUUUUCUGACGCUAAGGCACGAAGGCUAGGGUAGCGAAAGGGAUUAGAUACCCCUGUAGUC
rnacentral:rRNA from 1 species